rnacentral:tRNA from 1 species
GCUCCUGUAGUGUAGUCCGGCCAAUUUUUCACCAAAUUUAGAAGAAAAGGCUUCGCAUUGCGGGCUUUCACCCCGCCGACUUUCUCAUGUCAUCAAUGACAUGAAACGGCAACCGGGUUCGAAUCCCGGCAGGAGCA